GUAUCGAUACAUUGUUCUCAAUCACCUCUAACACGGAAAUCCCGGUCGAAAUCCACCUGAGCCAUCCACAACGAGGACGUCAAGUAUUUCGAAAACUCGAUUGACAGCCGAAGGAAGGAAGAGCAGCUUGCGGAUGCCAGCAUGUUCAGGGUUUGUGGGGAGGUUCACAGACAUCCUCAGGGAGGAUACCAAGUAUUGAAAUGUCCGGAUGAAUAAAAGAGACAGUCAUCUGUGCAGCAUCAAUGCAAAGAAAGACCAUAGAAGAGCAACAGUGAGUGGUAAAUAUUUUGAAAUUAUUCUGUUUGGUUCAUAUGGUUAUUUUGCAAAU